rnacentral:rRNA from 1 species
GUACACAAAAAUGCACAUGCUGUGAGCUCGAUGAGUAGGGCGGGACACGUGGUAUCCUGUCUGAAUAUGGGGGGACCAUCCUCCAAGGCUAAAUACUCCUGACUGACCGAUAGUGAACCAGUACCGUGAGGGAAAGGCGAAAAGAACCCCGGCGAGGGGAGUGAAAAAGAACCUGAAACCGUGUACGUACAAGCAGUGGGAGCACGCUUAGGCGUGUGACUGCGUACCUUUUGUAUAAUGGGUCAGCGACUUAUAUUCUGUAGCAAGGUUAACCGAAUAGGGGAGCCGAAGGGAAACCGAGUCUUAACUGGGCGUUAAGUUGCAGGGUAUAGACCCGAAACCCGGUGAUCUAGCCAUGGGCAGGUUGAAGGUUGGGUAACACUAACUGGAGGACCGAACCGACUAAUGUUGAAAAAUUAGCGGAUGACUUGUGGCUGGGGGUGAAAGGCCAAUCAAACCGGGAGAUAGCUGGUUCUCCCCGAAAGCUAUUUAGGUAGCGCCUCGUGAAUUCAUCUCCGGGGGUAGAGCACUGUUUCGGCAAGGGGGUCAUCCCGACUUACCAACCCGAUGCAAACUGCGAAUACCGGAGAAUGUUAUCACGGGAGACACACGGCGGGUGCUAACGUCCGUCGUGAAGAGGGAAACAACCCAGACCGCCAGCUAAGGUCCCAAAGUCAUGGUUAAGUGGGAAACGAUGUGGGAAGGCCCAGACAGCCAGGAUGUUGGCUUAGAAGCAGCCAUCAUUUAAAGAAAGCGUAAUAGCUCACUGGUCGAGUCGGCCUGCGCGGAAGAUGUAACGGGGCUAAACCAUGCACCGAAGCUGCGGCAGCGACGCUUAUGCGUUGUUGGGUAGGGGAGCGUUCUGUAAGCCUGUGAAGGUGUGCUGUGAGGCAUGCUGGAGGUAUCAGAAGUGCGAAUGCUGACAUAAGUAACGAUAAAGCGGGUGAAAAGCCCGCUCGCCGGAAGACCAAGGGUUCCUGUCCAACGUUAAUCGGGGCAGGGUGAGUCGACCCCUAAGGCGAGGCCGAAAGGCGUAGUCGAUGGGAAACAGGUUAAUAUUCCUGUACUUGGUGUUACUGCGAAGGGGGGACGGAGAAGGCUAUGUUGGCCGGGCGACGGUUGUCCCGGUUUAAGCGUGUAGGCUGGUUUUCCAGGCAAAUCCGGAAAAUCAAGGCUGAGGCGUGAUGACGAGGCACUACGGUGCUGAAGCAACAAAUGCCCUGCUUCCAGGAAAAGCCUCUAAGCAUCAGGUAACAUCAAAUCGUACCCCAAACCGACACAGGUGGUCAGGUAGAGAAUACCAAGGCGCUUGAGAGAACUCGGGUGAAGGAACUAGGCAAAAUGGUGCCGUAACUUCGGGAGAAGGCACGC